rnacentral:rRNA from 1 species
UGAGGAACAUGACCUUCGGCGGGGGAUAGCCGGCCCAACGGCCGGGUAAUACCGCGUACGACCACAUGGGGACAUCCCUGAGUGGUGGAAGCAGCAAUGCGCCGAUGGAGUGCCUCGCGGCCUAUCAGCUAGUUGGUGAGGUAACGGCUCACCAAGGCAACGACGGGUAGCUGGUCUGAGAGGAUGGCCAGCCACAUUGGGACUGAGACACGGCCCAGACUCCUACGGGAGCAG